rnacentral:rRNA from 1 species
UACGGGGGGGGCAAGCGUUGUUCGGAAUUACUGGGCGUAAAGGGCUCGUAGGCGGCCAACUAAGUCAGACGUGAAAUCCCCCGGCUUAACCAGGGAACUGCGUCUGAUACUGGAUGGCUAGAGUUUGGGAGAGGGAUGCGGAAUUCCAGGUGUAGCGGUGAAAUGCGUAGAUAUCUGGAGGAACACCGGUGGCGAAGGCGGCAUCCUGGACCAACACUGACGCUGAGGAGCGAAAGCCAGGGGAGCAAACGGG